GUGCCAGCAGCCGCGGUAAGACGUAGGGGGCCAGCGUUGCUCGGAAUCACUGGGUGUAAAGGGUUCGUAGGCGGUGUAGCAAGUCGGGAGUGAAAUCUCUGGGCUUAACUCAGGGGCUGCUUCCGAAACUGCUGUGCUUGAGUGUGGGAGAGGCGCGUGGAAUUGCAGGUGUAGCGGUGAAAUGCGUAGAUAUCUGCAGGAACACCCGUGGUGAAAGCGGCGCGCUGGACCACUACUGACGCUGAGGAACGAAAGCUAGGGGAGCAAACAGGAUUAGAUACCCGGGUAGUCC
rnacentral:rRNA from 1 species